CCUAUCAGUGUCCUCCGCCCUCCCCCUCUCUCUCUCUCUCUGACCAGCCCUCUCUCCUCUCCUCUCUUAAUAUUUUCAUUUAGGUUGACUGAUUUCCUCUCUGCCUGGCUUAUGCGACUUAUGAACUUACGAAGAAGAACGGCUCCACCAUUUUCUCCUCAAGCGACUGAUGAGCGUUCGACAACGAAGGACGCCGACUUCAGGCACGACGUGGGGCUACGAAGACGAAGGGCACAGCAGCUGCAAACGACCUUGCUCUGCGCCCAUGUGCGACCAUUGCUGCCAGAAUCUCAGUUGCCCAACCCAAGUACUUCAGCCAGCAACCCAUCUUCGGUCAUGCGCUUCUGCCAGCGACCAAUCUGCAACAUACAACUCCUUUAGAUGCCCUAUCUCAGCCUCUAUCUAUCUCCUUCACAACCAUUGAAAGCCACCUCGACUAGGACGUGGCAGAGGAAGAGGUAGAGCUAGUGGAAGCAGAGUUCCUUGGAUAAGAUUAAGAAGCCUUUGUACGAAAAACAUCCCGGGGUAGAGUUCUCUUUGAGGAUAGCUGAAGACAGUGAUACAGUUAGUACAUCUUACCUUUCUUAUGUGGAUAAUAGUGAAUGAUGAGCCUUGUUUGAAACAACUGUCUCAAACAU